rnacentral:snRNA from 1 species
ACUCAUACCUUGCAAGGGAAAUACCAUGUCAUAAAAGUGGUUUUCCCAGGGGAGACUCAUCCAUUGUAUUUUGGGUGUGUUGCUAAUCCCUGUGAUUUCCCCAAAAUGUGGUGAACUCAUCUGCAUAAUUUGUGUUAAUAGGAGAUUGUACUUGUGAUUAACCCUGU